AGCUUCUACACACAAAGAAUUUGAGCUCCCUUGAUAAACUCCCAGGUCCUCUCAAAAAGAAUGGAAGUGGAAGAAAACUAAGAAGAUUGAGAGGCUGUGUUGAACUACAUAGUAAAGAGUUGAGAGAGAAAGUGAGCCAGCAGCUCAGCCUGCCCAGGUUGGGUGGAGCAUCUGGGGGAAAAUGAAGUGAGAUUGUGGAUGUAUGGGCAGUUUGAAAUGGAUAAACCUGGCCUUCCAGAUAAACUUCAGGGAGCCUGACAGACAGGAUAUCUUUAUCUGAAGUAAAGGAACAUGUUGGAAAUUUUUCUGAGAUUUAUGGCAAUUCAAAAGAAAUCACAAACGAUGUAGCCUAGAGAUAUUUAAAAAAUAAGAAAAAGACACUUCAGGAGGCGAAGGAGCAAGCUGAUAUCUGAGAUGUAAAAAUAAAUAUAUUCCCAGUCUUCCAGACUACCCAGCAGUUGGUGGUCAGUUUUGAGAAUACUGCUUUCCAGAAGGAGCUAUCAUGAUUUGUCAGAGGACUGGCCAGUGAACAAAGUAUGAUCCAUGACUGAAUCAGGGUACUCUGUCUUCCCACUUGAUUUGUGUUAAAAUUUAACUAGAAAGAUG